rnacentral:lncRNA from 1 species
AAAUUAAACCUGCACCUUUGCGUGCACCACAACCACUGAGUAGUCCUUUGGAAGGUGUUGAAUUGCAUUACGGUGCAGAAAUAGGAUGCCAUCUUGGCUGUCUUGAUAGUAACUCAUCCUAUUCUUGUGACGGUCGAUUGCAUCCAGAUAUGCAUUCCUCUGGAUUCUUAUUUUCCAAGCCCCAUUGCCAUAAGGUAUGUUGUUUAAUUCUGAUAUCUUUUGCUUGAUCUUUCUUUCCAAGAAUUUACACAUCCGUAUACAUGUCAUUGAAGAGGCUUAUUUUCUCUUUCUCUGUCAACAGCCGUGGAUGAUUUUCAAUAAGGAUCUCAUCCCCAUCCUUAUAAUUUGAUAGAAGAUGGAAGAGCAUUUGAACAUCAUUAGGAAGCUCCAUUGCACAUUUUACUCCGAGUAUCACCAUUGCAGCAUUCUUAAUAGCCACAAAAUCAUUUGCCUUUCUUUCUAGUGUAGCUCUUUUCAGUAAUUUCCUUUUUCUUCGGUUGACAUUUCACAUCACCAUGAUGAGCUGGACCAGUGUAGCUCCUGGACAGGUCGUAGAAACAAUAUGCUCUACGUGAUGAAC